rnacentral:rRNA from 1 species
UCUUCGGAGUGAGAGCGUACACAGGUGCUGCAUGGCUGUCGUCAGCUCGUGUCGUGAGAUGUUGGGUUAAGUCCCGCAACGAGCGCAACCCUGCAUUCAGUUGCCAUCGGUAAGGCCGGGCACUCUGGAUGGACUGCCGGCGACAAGCCGGAGGAAGGUGGGGACGACGUCAAGUCAUCAUGGCCCUUAUGUCCAGGGCGACACACGUGCUACAAUGGCCGGCACAACGGGAAGCGAAGGGGCGACCCUGAGCGGAUCCCACAAAAGCCGGUCCCAGUUCGGAUUGCAGUCUGCAACUCGACUGCAUGAAGUUGGAAUCGCUAGUAAUCGUGGAUCAGCCAAGCCGCGGUGAAUACGUUCCCGGGCCUU